rnacentral:rRNA from 1 species
GAUAAACGCUGGCGGCGUGCUUCAGGCAUGCAAGUCGAACGGACCUUCGGGUCAGUGGCGGACGGGUGAGUAACACGUAAGCAACCUGCCCAGAUGUGGGGAAUAACCCACCGAAAGGUGAGCUAAUACCGCAUGUGAUGGGCCUUCUCUGGAGGGCUCAUUAAAGGCUUCGGCCGCGUUUGGAGGGGCUUGCGCUCGAUUAGCUAGUUGGUGGGGUAACGGCCUACCAAGGCUACGAUCGAUAGCUGGUCUGAGAGGACGGUCAGCCACACGGGGACUGAGAUACGGCCCCGACUCCUACGGGAGGCAGCAGCUAGGAAUCUUGGGAAUGGGCGAAAGCCUGACCCAGCAACGCCGCGUGGGCGAUGAAGGCCUUAGGGUCGUAAAGCCCUUUUGCGGGGGACGAUGAUGACGGUACCCCGCGAAUAAGCCACGGCUAACUACGUGCCAGCAGCCGCGGUAAUACGUAGGUGGCAAGCGUUGUCCGGAUUUACUGGGCGUAAAGGGCGCGCAGGCGGUC